UGGUCCUACGGGACGCAGCAGUGAGGAAUAUUGGUCAAUGGCCGAGAGGCUGAACCAGCCAAGUCGCGUGAGGGAAGACGGCCCUACGGGUUGUAAACCUCUUUUGUCGGGGAGCAAAGCGAACCACGUGUGGUUCAUUGAGAGUACCCGAAGAAAAAGCAUCGGCUAACUCCGUGCCAGCAGCCGCGGUAAUACGGAGGAUGCGAGCGUUAUCCGGAUUUAUUGGGUUUAAAGGGUGCGUAGGCGGGAUGCCAAGUCAGCGGUAAAAAUGCGGUGCUCAACGCCGUCGAGCCGUUGAAACUGGG
rnacentral:rRNA from 1 species